GUGUGUUCGUACGAGCGACCAGGAGAAGAGGGGAGGGAGCCAACCCUAGUUCUUCAAGAAUCUUCAAAUUGAAGCUCAAUUCAGGCCCUAAAUCGAUGCAUAAACACAUAAAAACAAUCACCAAGCUUAGGGGAUCAUGAGUUUAACGCUUAACAAGCUAGGUGUGAGCUUGUGGAGGAAGUGGGUCAAACGGAUCAAGAACGAAAAGAAAAGCGUGGUUUGGAUGCAAGAAAUUAUUUCGAUGUCUUAACUAUCGAGUUUUGACAUGAUAUUUGGCCAGAAGUUGUUCAACAACAUAAAUAAUGUUUGACAUGCAGGUUCCAGAGACGGACCUGCUGGAAAAUGGUUUCCCCCGCGCCACGCGAUGGAGGACAUAGCCAGGGGCGCGACACGCGACAGGUAUAUUAUACUGCAACGGAAGACGAUCAAGCUCGAAGAAGAACCGAACACAUGAAAAAGAAGCUUCCGCACAUUGUUUCGUCAUUAAUUUUUAAACGACAAAUCCUUUUACAUCAUGUUGUAUUACUUUUAAUAUAAAAGUUUUAAAUAAACCCGUAUUUUUAUAA